CACUUCUGAAACGAAUUUAUUGAGUUAGUGGUUUACUUUAUCCCAAUGCUGCCGUAUUUGAAAUUAUUUACUUAUUUUUGUUGUGUUCAUACUAUUAUGUUCCAUUGUAGACUGUGGAUAAUGAUCUCACAUUGAAAAUAUGCAUUAAAGCCAGAGCAACUCCAAAAGUCGUUGCUGCUUUUGCUGAAUGGAGGGAAUUUGAUAAAACUUUGAUAUAUUCAAAACAUGUGAAGAUAUUCUUUUUCUUUUAAUCAUUGUUGAUAUUGUGAUUUAUUGCAUUACUGUUAUUAUUAUAUUAUUUAUAAUUUAUUUUCGUAUACUUAUUUCAUGGUUUGAUCAUGUCAUUGUUUCUCUAUUGCUUUAGGUUGGGUACAAUCCAGAUUAUCUAUUCCUUCUACAGACAAUUUUUCGUUCAGAUCCUCAGGGAGUUGUUAAUUUUGCACUAAUGAUGUCUCAAAUGGAGGGAGGUUGUCCAGUUGAUUACAAUACCAUAACGGAUCUCUUUCUUAGAUGAACUUGAUCCGUGACGCGACAGCUUUUCAAUUAGAUGUUUUGAAGCCAAAUCUUCUUAAUAUAGGUAUAGGAAAUCAAUCUGGUAACUUUUCCAAAUGUAGCUGAUGCUAUAUUAGCUAAUGGAAUGUUCAGCCAUUAUGACCGUCCUCAAAUUGCCCAACUUCGUGAAAAGGCCGGUCUUUAUGUGCGAGCUCGGCAAGUAAUGUCCUCUUGAGGCAAAGAUGAAGGGACGAACAAAGGUUGAUUUAGAUAUUUAUAUUGUCGUUUUCUAUUCAAAUUUAUAAUAAUCAUUUAGACAGCAAAUGUAAAUAGUUUGAUGGCAGAUUACAGAAUAAAUUUCAUUCUAUCAUGUUUUAUCUGAUGACAUAGAUUCUAUGAUGAUGAAGGUAGUUACACACUUUAUACUAAUAACUUUCAACAAUUAUAUUAUGACAAGCUAAUUGUGAUUUUCUGCCCAAUGAAUCAGCAGGUAUGAUA